ensembl:lncRNA
AUCAGACCACAUGACCUUCUCCCAUUCCUCCUCUGGAUCAUUCAGAUGGUCAUUGGCAAACUUCAGACGGGCCUGGACAUGCGCUGGCUUGAGCAGGGGGACCUUGCGUGCGCUGCAGGAUUUUAAUCCAUGACAGCAUAGUGUGUUACUAAUGGUUUUCUUUGAGACUGUGGUCCCAGCUCUCUUCAGAUCAUUGACCAGGUCCUGCCGUGUAGUUCUGGGCUGAUCCCUCACCUUCCUCAUGAUCAUUGAUGCCCCACGAGGUGAGAUCUUGCAUGGAGCCCCAGACCGAGGUUGAUUGACAAUCAUCUUGAACUUCUUCCAUUUUCUAAUAAUUGCGCCAACAGUUGUUGCCUUCCCACCAAGCUGCUUGCCUAUUGUCCUGUAGCCCAUCCCAGCCUUGUGCAGGUCUACAAUUUUAUCCCUGAUGUCCUUACACAGCUCACUGGUCUUGGCCAUUGUGGAGAGGUUUGAGUGUGUGGACAGGUGUCUUUUAUACAGGUAACGAGUUCAAACAGGUGCAGUUAAUACAGGUAAUGAGUGGAGAACAGGAGGGCUUCUUAAAGAAAAACUAACAGGUCUGUGAGCUGGAAUUCUUACUGGUUGGUAGGUGAUCAAAUACUUAUGUCAUGCAAUAAAAUGCAAAUGAAUUACUUAAAUCAUACAAUGUGAUUUUCUGGAUUUUUGUUUUAGAUUCCGUCUCUCGCAGUUGAAGUGUACCUAUGGUAAAAAUUACAGACCUCUACAUGCUUUGUGCAGAAUGGCAUUGCCCUGUAUACCACAUGGACAACCAUUGCCACUCUGAUCAACUUCACCCUGGUGUUGGACCUCUCUGGAGUGGCAAAUAGCACUGCAGCCACCGUGUCUCUUUGUAUCCUACUGGUGGAGGUGAUCGGAUGGUUUGGUAUUGAGAACUUCCUGCUGGAUCAGCAUGUGAGGUACAUCCUGACUAUUUACCCUGUGGUGAUCAUUGCUCUGGUUGGGAAUGUGUUCAAGCACUAUGAUCCUGCAGCACCAAGCGCAAACGCUAUCUUCAUGGUUUGUCUCUUGGUGGUUUCCUGUGUGCUCCUGGUGGUGCGAGUCGCCUUGGUGUUCAGGAGAAAUCGGAACCAGCCCCUGUACGCUGGCAUGAGCCUGGAGGCUCUGAUCUCGCCCAGCAGCCUGAACAAGAAUCAGAAUAAGAUAUUCAUGUAGAAGACUGGUACACACCACAAUACCAUCUUUUCACGAAGUGUCAAACCGUAAUAAUCUAUAACAUAACACAUUGCCUAUAUUAAACCAUACACAUUCAUUAUUCAGUUUGGACAAGAAACAGAUGAAGAUAUUCAUGUAGAAGACUGGUAGUCUUCUACAUAGUACGAUCUGUAAACGAUACGAAGUGUCAAAGCCUAUGCUUCCAUAUAAUAUAAUCCAUAACAUAUAAUCCUGUAUUACGCACACUGUAUUAAAAAACCUGUAUUCAUCCAAUCAUAACAUUCCACUACACUGUAAUGCAUAACACUUUCUAUGUUUAUAAUACAUGUAAUAAGAGAUAUUUGUACACUAAUCAAUGCACUGAAUAAUCAUACAAUUCCAGUGUAAGUAACACUUUUUUUUUUUACGUGAUUCUUACUAUUUUGUAUUGAUCUGAUACAUAAAAACAUUUUGCCUAUCCUGUUUUGACAAUGCUAUUUUCACUUGAUGAAACUAUUAGUCUACACACUGAGUAUGAGUAGAAAUAUGGAAUGCUAAAAUAAAAUGGGAUGUUAAUGUUUUA